rnacentral:rRNA from 1 species
GACGAACGCUGGCGGCGUGCUUAACACAUGCAAGUCGAACGGUGAAGCGCCUUCCUUUUUGGUGGGUGUGGAUGAGUGGCGAACGGGUGAGUAACACGUGAGUAACCUGCCCCCUUCUUCUGGAUAACCGCAUGAAAGUGUGGCUAAUACGGGAUAUUCUGGGUCUGUCGCAUGAUGGGUCUGGGAAAGAUAUUGUUUCGGUGGGGGAUGGGCUCGCGGCCUAUCAGCUUGUUGGUGGGGUGAUGGCCUACCAAGGCGGUGACGGGUAGCCGGCCUGGGAGGGUGGACGGUCACACUGGGGCUGAGACACGGCCCAGACUCCUACGGGAGGCAGCAGUGGGGAAUAUUGCACAGUGGGCGCAAGCCUGAUGCAGCGACGCCGCGUGAGGGAUGGAGGCCUUCGGGUUGUGAACCUCUUUCGCCAGUGAAGCAGGCCUGCCUCGUUUGUGGGUGGGUUGACGGUAGCUGGAUAAGAAGCGCCGGCUAACUACGUG